rnacentral:rRNA from 1 species
CCGGCUAACUACGUNCCAGCAGCCGCGGUAAUACGUAGGGUGCGAGCGUUANUCGGAAUUACUGGGCGUAAAGCGGGCGCAGACGGUUACUUAAGCAGGAUGUGAAAUCCCCGGGCUCAACCUGGGAACUGCNUUCUGAACUGGGUGACUAGAGUGUGUCAGAGGGAGGUAGAAUUCCACGUGUAGCAGUGAAAUGCGUAGAGAUGUGGAGGAAUACCGAUGGCGAAGGCAGCCUCCUGGGAUAACACUGACGUUCAUGCCCGAAAGCGUGGGUAGCAAACAGGAUUAGAUACCCUGGUGGUCCACGCCCUAAACGAUGUCGAUUAGCUGUUGGGCAGCAUGACUGCUUAGUAGCGAAGCUAACGCGUGGAAUCGACCGCCUGGGGAGUACGGUCGCAAGAUUAAAACUCAAAGGAAUUGACGGGGACCCGCACAAGCGGUGGAUGAUGUGGAUUAAUUCGAUGCAACGCGAAGAACCUUCCCUGGUCUUGACAUGUACGGAACCCUCCAGAGACGGAGGAGUGCCUUCGGGAGCCGUAACACAGGUGCUGCAUGGCUGUCGUCAGCUCGUGUCGUGAGAUGUUGGGUUAAGUCCCGCAACGAGCGCAACCCUUGUCAUUAGUUGCCAUCAUUAAGUUGGGCACUCUAAUGAGACUGCCGGUGACAAGCCGGAGGAAGGUGGGGAUGACGUCAAGUCCUCAUGGCCCUUAUGACCAGGGCUUCACACGUCAUACAAUGGUCGGUACAGAGGGUAGCCAAGCCGCGAGGCGGAGCCAAUCUCACAAAACCGAUCGUAGUCCGGAUUGCACUCUGCAACUCGAGUGCAUGAAGUCGGAAUCGCUAGUAAUCGCAGGUCAGCAUACUGCGGUGAAUACGUUCCCGGGUCUUGUACACACCGCCCGUCACACCAUGGGAGUGGGGGAUACCAGAANU